UAACCCCUCCUCUGGGUGGAGCUACAGCCUGAGAAUAAUUCCGCUGUGAACCAGAUACAGGCGGGGCCGGGCUGAUUGGAAAGCUUUUAGUCUGCAGACUUCCUUUUUCUGCUUUAGGCUGACGCAAGUACUCGUCAACCACAAUAAAGAUGGCAGCAACGGCUUUACCUUGGUAACAAGGGAGUCACUUGAUAACAACUGCGGCACUUUUCAUUUUAGUUCCGCCCUAUUAGGGGAGGGAAGUGCUUGGGCCCGCCCCGGCAGCGUGCAUAUAAUUAAGUUGCUAAAGUCGAGAGAGUGUGGAGAUGAUGGAAUAAGAGUCGUGCCAGCCGGUAGAGUGUGAGAAUGAGCGGCGCUCUCCGUCUAAGCACCAGCGUAGCUGGGGAAAUGGGGGAGAAAAAGGGAGAGCAGACCCCCAUCUGCUCUCGGGUAGCCUUUGGGCUCCGUAUGCUAGUGGUGAGGUGGUGCGGCGGGGGACACUGGCAGGCAGAGUGUCGGAAACAGCAGAAAACAUCAUUGACCGGUUUCACUUAUGUACCAGUGACCCCUCCUUCAGUUCCUGUCUGUGAGAGUCUUUCCCUUCAUUGUGACACUCCCUGAACGACAUUUAUUUUGCCUCCAGUUUAUAUCAAAGUGAAGAUACAAGAAUCCUAUUCCUUCAAAGAAGAUUCAGGGUUGUUUACCUGCUCAAAGUCUGCAUUAUGAGAUGUGAGUCUCACUCUGUUGCCUGGGCUACAGUGCUG